UGGUGGAAAGUAUGGUUUUAUUAUAGAUGGUCCCAUUGCUCUUCCUUUCGACCAGACAUUUUGGGAUGAUUUAUUUAAAACUGCUGUUCAAUGGGGAUUAACAACUUAUGAUCAGGAUGGGAUGGACGAAACAUUUAUGAAUAUGAAUGUUACAAAACAGGAUGUAACUGCAGGGUCAACCUGGUUACAACAGAUGAAUGAUGCUGCUGUUAGAAAUAAUAUCAAUAUUCUAUAUUCUGAUGCUUAUCCUAGGCAUCUGUUUCAAUCAUUAUUACUACCAGCUGUAACACAGACGAGAGCAAGUCCAGAUUACGGUAAAAAUAAAGAUCAAUGGAAAAUUGGCAUUUCUUCGAUUUUUGCUGAUGCAUUAAAUUUGGUCCCCAAUAAAGAUUCAUUUAGAACGAGUCACAACGGAUCAG